rnacentral:rRNA from 1 species
GAGGGGCAACUCUCCUGACUGAGUGGCGAAAGGGGCAGUAAGGCAUGGGUAACCUACCCUCCGGACCGGCAUAGCUUUCCUAACGGAAAGGUAAUUCCGGGCAAAGUGGCUGGAUCGCAUGGUUUGGCCACCAGAUGAAUUUCGCCCGGGGAGGGGCUCAUGUGGUAUUAGCUAGUUGGUAGGGUAAUGGCCUACCAAGGCGAAGAUGCCUAGCAGGUGUGAGAGCACGACCUGCGCCACUGGCACUGAGACACUGGCCAGACUCCUACGGGAGGCUGCAGUCGAGGAUCUUCGGCAAUGGGCGCAAGCCUGACCGAGCGACGCCGCGUGUGCGACGAAGGCCUUCGGGUUGUAAAGCACUGUCGAGGGGGAGGAAAGCCGAAAGGUUUGACCUAUCCCUGGAGGAAGCACGGGCUAAUUUCGUGCCAGCAACCGCGGUAAGACGAACCGUGCGAACGUUGUUCGGAAUCACUGGGCUUAAAGGGCGCGUAGGCGGUCUGCCAAGUCAGGGGUGAAAUCCUUCGGCUUAACCGGAGAAGUGCCUUUGAUACUGGCGGACUUGAGGGAGGUAGGGGCAGAUGGAACUGGUGGUGGAGCGGUGAAAUGUGUAGAUAUCACUAGGAACCCCCGUGGCCAAAGCGAUCUGCUGGACCUCUACUGACCCUGAGGCCCCAAGCAGGGGAGCAAACGGGAUUAGAUACCCCCGUAGUCCUGGCCCUAAACGAUGGGUACUGGGUAGUGGACUUACAUGGGUUCACUGCCCAAAC